rnacentral:sRNA from 1 species
UCGACGAGGAACCCCUCAAAGUCGGCGAG